CACGAGGCCUUUACUGACGCUAAAGCUCGAAGGUGCGGGUAUCGAACAGGAUUAGAUACCCUGGUAGUCCGCACGGUAAACGAUGGAUGCCCGCUGUUUGCGAUACACUGUGAGCGGCCAAGCGAAAGCGUUAAGCAUCCCACCUGGGGAGUACGCCGGCAACGGUGAAACUCAAAGGAAUUGACGGGGGCCCGCACAAGCGGAGGAACAUGUGGUUUAAUUCGAUGAUACGCGAGGAACCUUACCCGGGCUUGAACUGCCGGCGAACGAUACAGAGAUGUUGAGGCCCUUCGGGGCGCCGGCGGAGGUGCUGCAUGGUUGUCGUCAGCUCGUGCCGUGAGGUGUCGGCUUAAGUGCCAUAACGAGCGCAACCCCUCUCCGUAGUUGCCAUCGGGUGAUGCCGGGCACUCUGCGGACACUGCCACCGUAAGGUGUGAGGAAGGUGGGGAUGACGUCAAAUCAGCACGGCCCUUACGUCCGGGGCUACACACGUGUUACAAUGGGUGGUACAGAGGGCAGGCGUCCGGCAACGUCCGUCUAAUCCCGAAAGCCAUCCUCAGUUCGGACUGGGGUCUGCAACCCGACCCCACGAAGCUGGAUU
rnacentral:rRNA from 1 species